rnacentral:rRNA from 1 species
UACGGAGGAUUCGAGCGUUAUCCGGAUUUAUUGGGUUUAAAGGGUGCGUAGGCGGACUUGUUAGUCAGCGGUGAAAUCUUACAGCUCAACUGUGAAAUUGCAGUUGAUACUGUUAGUCUUGAGUAUAGAUGAGGUGGGCGGAAUUUGUAGUGUAGCGGUGAAAUGCUUAGAUAUUACAAAGAACACCAAUUGCGAAGGCAGCUCACUGGGCUAUUACUGACGCUGAUGCACGAAAGCGUGGGUAUCAAACAGG